rnacentral:rRNA from 1 species
GAUGAACGCUGGCGGCGUGCCUAAUACAUGCAAGUCGAGCGAACAGACGAGGCGCUUGCUCCUCUCACGUUAGCGGCGGACGGGUGAGUAACACGUGGAUAACCUACCUAUCAGACUGGGAUAACUUCGGGAAACCGGAGCUAAUACCGGAUAAUAUCUUGCACCGCAUGGGUCAAUAGUGAAAGACGGUUUUGCUGUCUGUAAUAGAUGGAUCCGCGCCGCUUUAGCUGGUUGGUAAUGUAACGGCUUACCAAGGCGACGAGGCGUAGCCGACCGGAGAGGGUGGGCAGCCGCACUGGAACUGAGACACGGUCCAGACUCCUACGGGAGGCAGCAGGAGGGAUUCUUCCGCAAUGGGCGGAGGCCUGACGGAGCAACGCCGCGUGAGUGAGGAGGGUCUUCGGAUCGUAAAACUCUGUUAUUGGGUAAGAACAAGUGUGUAAGUAACUAUGCGCGUCUUGACGGUACCUAAGCAGAGAGCCACGGCUAACUUCGUG